UAUAUAUAAUUCGAUGUGUGCAAUGAGGACAGCCCAUUCAACAUACUGUUCUAUCAAUCAUUCAGCUCAAAAAUCAUUAAAGAAAGCUCAGGCUGUUGGUUCCAAAUCAUGGACUUUUCAAGAAUCAACACGAGCACAAACUGUCCUUCCAGGUGUCUUGACAAGAUGCAGGAGAGGUUACACAUGCUGCGAGAUCUGACGCAGGUCACGCUGAAGCUGCGGAUGGAGUUCGAGAUGGAGGCCGACCUUCGAAGGAGGGCAGUGGAUGAAUGUGAAGAGCAGAAGAGGAAGAGGACGGAGGCAGAGCAGUUGGUGAGAGACUUCCAGAACCUCUGUGAGAAGCAGGCGGAUGAUUACAGGACCACCGUCAGCAGCCUUCAGGUGGAGAUGAGAGAUUUAGUAACUAAGGUACGAGAGCUUGAGACACAGGAUGUGGAAAGACAAUGUGACAAACACCUGAAGCAGGUGUUGUCUCUGGAGGAUAAGGUUUGCCAGCUGAAGCUUGCCCUUCAAGAGGAGCAGCAGAAGACUAGGCAGCUGUCUAUGACCAUGCAGAGGGAAAUCGACCAGGCCAAAGCUUUGGUCCAGGUGAAGAAACCACUAUUCUGACACGGGGUUUCCCAAAUGGGGUUUUGAAAAAUUAAUAAUUCAUUAAAUUAAAGGUAAAAUGAACCAUAAAUGAAUGGGGCAGCACAAUGAAUUAAAAUAAAAUUGCAACAUAGCUUAGUCUGAUUUCUCA
ensembl:lncRNA